CCGACGGUGAGGGGCGAAAGCUGGGGGCACGAACCGGAUUAGAUACCCGGGUAGUCCCAGCCGUAAACGAUGCUCGCUAGGUGUCUGGGAUGGUGCGACCGUUUCAGGUGCCGCAGGGAAGCCGUGAAGCGAGCCACCUGGGAAGUACGGCCGCAAGGCUGAAACUUAAAGGAAUUGGCGGGGGAGCACUACAACGGGUGGAGCCUGCGGUUUAAUUGGACUCAACGCCGGAAUGCUCACCUGGGGC
rnacentral:rRNA from 1 species